AUUGAACGCUGGCGGCAUGCUUUACACAUGCAAGUCGAACGGUAACAGGGUGCUUGCACCGCUGACGAGUGGCGAACGGGUGAGUAAUGCGUCGGAACGUGCCGAGUAGUGGGGGAUAACGCAGCGAAAGUUGUGCUAAUACCGUAUACGUACUGAGGUAGAAAGUGGGGGACCUUCGGGCCUCACGCUAUUCGAGCGGCCGACGUCUGAUUAGCUAGUAGGGGAGGUAAAGGCUCACCUAGGCGACGAUCAGUAGCGGGUCUGAGAGGAUGAUCCGCCACACUGGGACUGAGACACGGCCCAGACUCCUACGGGAGGCAGCAGUGGGGAAUUUUGGACAAUGGGCGAAAGCCUGAUCCAGCCAUGCCGCGUGUCUGAAGAAGGCCUUCGGGUUGUAAAGGACUUUUGUCAGGGGGAAAUCCCUAGUGCUAAUAACACUGGGGGAUGACAGUACCUGAAGAAUAAGCACCGGCUAACUACGUGCCAGCCGCCGCAGUAA
rnacentral:rRNA from 1 species